CCCUUAGAUGUUCUGGGCUGCACGCGCGCUACACUGGUGCGUUCAGCGAGUUUAGCACCUUAACAGAUAUGUUUGGGUAAUCUUCUGAAAACGCACCGUGAUGGGGAUCGAUUAUUGUAAUUAUUAAUCGUCAACGAGGAAUUCCUAGUAAGUGUGAAUCAUCAGUUCGCGCUGAUUACGUCCCUGCCCUUUGUACACACCGCCCGUCGCUGCUACCGAUUGAGUGGUCCGGUGAAUUAUUCGGACCGGUGGACUGUGGGGUAACUCGCGGUCUGCUGGGAAGUCUUGUGAACCUUAUCACUUAGAGGAAGCAGAGGUCGUAACA
rnacentral:rRNA from 1 species